UGGAAAUGCAGCCACGAUCAGCUUCAAGAGCUUUUUCCAAGUAAAGGAUCAGUUUCUUCAAAAAACUUUGACAUUCCACUUCUCUAUAAACUUUUACGCAAUACAACAACAGUAAAAGAACCGGUGAAUGGUUGGAAUAUUGAGCCAAAUUUGGAAGAUACAGAUGAAGGAGACGAUAUUGAACGAAUUCACCAACACAGAAAUUUUCUUUGUCAUUUAAAAGUCAAGCAACUUUCUGACGAAGAAUUCGAGAGUCGAUGGUUCGAUCUCACAACGGCAAUUGACAGGCUGAGCAAAGGAACCCUCCGGAAAAAAUUAUGUUACUUAAGAAAUAAGAAAUUUCAACAAAAGGAAAAGGUUACAAAGAAGAAGUAUUCAAAAAGAGGAAUUAUGAGA